rnacentral:lncRNA from 1 species
UAAUUUAACUGACAAUAGAUUUAACUCAUUUACACCUAAUGUCGUUUCAUUUGGGAUUGGCGACGGUUAAGUCUAGCUCCUAAUUUAAUUAUGCAUUUAACUUUGAAUUCAAAUUUCAUUUCAGUUUCAAUCUCUAACAAACUCUGUGAUGACUAAUCGAAAUGUUGAAUUUGAUAACUAACCUUGAAUUUCAACCACAUUUGAUUUGCAUUUGAUAAAUGUAUCGAAAUCAUAUAAGAACCAGACUUCAGCAUAAUGAAGGAGAGAAUAACUGCUCUGGCCAUAUUUUGCUUUCACUGGGAAACUUCAUCUCUGCACUCUGCAAAUUCUUGGCCUCUCUCCUCAUAGAUUCAGCAUACUCCACCGCAUCUCAGAAUGGAGAAUCUAUCAAUCUUCACUCUUCCAUCGUUAUUUUUGAUUCGGCUUACCCUACAAAAAACGUGAAGAAGCUUUCAGAAUCAACCUUCGCACACAGAUUACCACGGUGUCGUCGCAAUUUGUUUCACUCGGUCAAUCUCACAAGCAACAAACAAGAACACAACUUUAUCACGAGAUCUCGAGAGUAGAAAAAGAAGAACCGAAGUAGAAGAGGAGAAGGAAUCGAUACCUGACUCACGUUGGUACUUCAUUCCGGUGAGUUCUUUUUUUUUCUACAAACUGAUUCGUCUCUUUUCAUUUUCGCUUUAACUUUGCACUUAUGUUUCGACGCGAUAGAGAGCCGAAGUGAGUUUUGCAAAUUGUAUGAUGAGUUCGUUGUUGAUUCACCGUGCUCACCAUUAGCUGGCAUCAAUUUCGCGUGUGAUAAAGAGGAUGCACGGAGCUGACGCGGCGGAGAUUGCUCGGAGCCGGUACGGCGUAAAC